AGAACUUUGAUAAGUAUAGAUCUUGGAAAGGACUUUAAUUAGUAUGUUCUAUGUUGACUUGACAGGAACAUGGUUUCAGGACAGGCAGUCCGGCUGGACGACUUGACUCCCACGAACUAGAUGAGGGUGUUGAUGUAACUGUAACAUACAUAGAUUUUUUGGGGAAACUUCAAACAUUCAAGGUCAACUCAAGAAACCUGUCUUCUUCCUGGGUGUGGGAGAGUUCUUUUGGUGCAAACCACACACAAGCAAUGGUUGGACUGGUACUCUUUUAACCUCUUCAGCGCUGCUGGUCACAGGAUUAAUUGUAUAUUUGGAUUUGUGAGAAAAUUGAGAAAAUAUUUUCAGUUAUGUUAAACCAAAAGGUCUUUGAAACAGUAUGAAACUCAUUUAAA